UGUCGUAUUUAUUUUUGCGUGCCAAGUAGUUCGACUCAUUUGCUUUCUUUAAAUAUUUUAUUGCAAAUAACAUGUACAAAUCAAAUUAGUCGAAUAUUGGUACGAAAUUUGGACGAAAUUUGGCCGGAAUUUAGAUUAGUAGCAAAAUCAGAUAAAAUCAAAAGUUUAGUAAUUAUCACGCCACAGUUUAAAGUUUGUAUGCAAAAUCAGAAUUGGACAAAAGUUCGGUAUUUUAUUGGCAAUUAACCCAAAAAAAAAUAUUGCAAUUCAGUUUCUACAACCCUGCAUUUUGCGAAGACUUUGUGCGAAGCUUUACCAAUUCUCUACGCGUCUUCGGGUACUUUUUCAGAAUUUUUGGGCUCCUUACUAUCUUUUUCACGGUGAAAAAAGAAUCCGAAGCAAAGGAAUUUGGGCUCCUUAUUGAGCCGUUGGGCCACAUUCGGGGGAAUCGUCAAACGUGUAUCUUCCUUGGACCAACACGUCGUCGUUUCUAUCACCGCAUAUGUUCUGGCCAAACCGCCGUCAAUUCUAUACAACAGCAAUUUCGACCCAAUUUGUUUCUGUUUAUGAGCUUCGUCAUCGUCACCACAAGGAAGCAAAAUCCAAGUGACCUAUAAAUGGCGGACAAACUAUUCCGAGUGAUCUCUAGAUCUGAGUUGUCCAACAAGGCGAGUCGCAGAGUCAUCGCCACGACGACGCAACUCCUGCAUAAUCAGAAACCAGCAACCGACGACAAGGACGAAAUCAACAACCAAAUUGAGGAUGAGAGGAAAUUCGAUUCUACAGACGGAGAAGAUGACGGCGGCGAUGAGUUCGUGAAUAAAGGUACUGGUGAAGUCGGCGGCCCUCGCGGCCCGGAACCAACUCGGUACGGCGAUUGGGAGAAGAACGGUCGGUGUUCUGAUUUUUGAUGUUUUUGUAUCGUAUCGAAUAGAAAUUGAGAAAUUUCAACUGUUCUGGCCUGCGAUCUUGUUAUAAUCAUAUCGGAUGUUCAAUCUGCUUGAGUUAUUGUAAUAAUGAGAUUGUUCAAACGUCAAUGUUCAGCAAGAUUUCGUUUUGUUAA